CACUUGCACUGCGGGUGCUCUCUGGCCCCCACCCCAUCAUCGCGCAACACACCCCCUUCAACAUGCGCGGCCACCCUUUCAUUGCCCUGCGCCCCGAGCGGUCCCACCGCCCGGCAAAACACUGAGCAAGCCGCUGCUCUCACCUUGCUUGACACACUUGAGCCGGAGGGGGUCCUUGCAGUGUUUGAUCACGGCCAGCACGUCCCUGAUGGUGAGCCCCGCCACGGGGGUCUCGUUCACCUCCAGCAGCAGCUCCUCCGACACCAAUUUGCUGCCGCUCUCAUAGGCCACCUUGCCGGGCUUCACCUCCCCCAGCAGAGGAAGCAGUGGUGGUGGCGUCGGCGGCGGCGGCGGCGGCAGCCGGAGCGAGCAGUAGCCGAGCUGGUGAGCGGGUGUGGUGGGGGUGGGGAAGGAGGGUAGGGAUGCCGGGGGCCACUCCUGCGUGGUGCGAGUGGGAACGCGCGCGCGCGCCUGGGUGUGUGUUGUUAGCUGAUAUCCAUGGCAGCUGCAGUGGCAGGUGUUCCCUUCUUUUCGCCAGGUUUGCAUCCAAGAGAGGGGAGGACAGGGGCAAAAGGAUGCAGGGAGGCUGCUGAUUUCCACUGAAGAGCUAAUUUCCUGUGAGACAUUAACAGUGAUUUAAGAAAAAGAUUCCUGUAACUGUAAUGUCUUACAAUAACAGAAUGCAGGAGAGCACAUAUCAAUGAAGAAAAGACAAAAUGUACUUAUCCAUGAAGCUGAGGUUAAGAAACCAGUGUCUUCAAGAGCCAGGGACAGCACUGGGUCUGUGCAGAGUUGAGAGAUGGUGAUGACAUGUGGUUUCCAGCAUUCCUCACCCAGUCCAGGGACACUGUGGGUGUGCCCAGCUUAAGUCCAGUAACUGGAAAUACAAGCCCAAGUUCUGGAGAGUUUGAGCUGCAGAGAUAUAUAUGGGAACACUUUGAAUCUUGACUCAUUGGCCAUAACCAGCAGAGUGGAAAAUACAAGAAGAGAAAAAAACAUUGAACUGCGAUUUUAUAACAUCCUUUACUAGGCAGAGAGAAGAGGAAACACCAGGAAAGAAAACUGUAUUACGAUGUGAAAACUUAAUGUUGAGAAAUUCAGGCAUCUUGGGGUUAGUGAGGAGAAGUUUUAGGGGCUUAGAUUCUUCUAAACACAUGUACAGAAAUGCAUAUUUCAUCUGAUAUCAAAUGGCAUUUAUAGUGCUAAUCUUUACCUCAAGACUUCACAUCUUUUGGUGAUUGCAUCUUUUAGGUUUAUAGCAGCUAAGUUUGCAUGAAAACACCAGGGCUGUUUCAUUUCAGUCAAGAAUUAAUGUUCAUUGAUUGUGCUUCUGCAUUUCAUGUAACUAUUGUAGAAUUUGUUUUAGUUUUAUGAGGGAAUAAUUGUUCCAACUUCUAUAUAACUCAGGAAUUUACUCUCAAACAACACUGUCAAUUAGUUACUUAUCUCUCUGGAAAUGAUCUGGGAACAUGGAGAGGAAAGGGAGGAAGGGGCAAAAUCUGACCACUUAAAUCUAAGCAUAUUAGAUCAUUUUAUGCUAGAAAGUCCUGAAUGAUGUGACUUUCGUUCUUGUAAAACACCUCUUUCCAUAGAUUCAUGGCCCAAACAGUAUAUAAAGAGUGGGGAAGGAACUGCAUUUGCAAAUAGUUCAAAUCAUUGCUCCAUCUUAACUACGCAGUUCACAAAGUGUGAAGAAAUGUGAUCAUCUCAAAAAAGAUAAUGGGGAAAAAAUAUGUUUUGUUCUGUGACUUUAAAGUCUUGCAAUAUUUUACAUAAAUGAUAAUGGGUGCUUUAAUAAGAACUCUUGAUACUUUUGUUAUUGUAUUCAAUAUAUGCAUAUAAUACAACAGGAUGAUAUUGUUUUGGAUUUGGAAAUGUAUUCUUUCUUAUGCAAUCUUAUGCAGUCAUACUGCUUGAAUAUCAUUACCUGAAUUUAUCUUUCUUUUUUUUGUUGUUGUUUUACACUCUACUUAUUUGGUGCCUGUCAGUCUUUUGUCGUCAGUUUAUAUUCUACUAAACUCAAAAAGACAAUCUCAUACCUUUUGUAAUUGUAGGCAUUCUUUACUAGAUUUUUAAAUACACUUCAAAAAUUCAAGUACUUUGAUUUCAUGCCAUCAAGUAGCUGAAUCUAUCCCCCCGUCUCUUUUUAAAUUUAAGUGAGUAGUUCAAUUUCUGUCACUUUCUACUUUGUGAAUUCUAAAUCUUUUAAAACCAUCUUGCCAUUUUUCGUGCACUUACCCUUACAGAAAACUCUGUGAAACACUACUUAUCUCUACUUUUAUGUUUUUAACUCCUUUUUUAUAUUACUAUUCCCUCUGCUUUCUAAAUGCACAUAUUAAUUUGUUCUUUUUAUUCUCUGUAGCUCUUCUCAGUGUAUGAAUUCAGUUUCCCAUCAGUCUCCAUACAAUUAAAAAAAAGUUGAGUAUUCUGUUAUUUUAAUAAGAUAUCUAGUGCCCAUAUUCUAAUUCUGCCCCUUAUUUUUAAUAUAAUUUUAUUGUUGAUUUAAAAUGACAACAGUUUCAAUUCCCAGAAAGUGAAAGGAAACAAAGGAAUAAUAUUAUAGGCUUAAUUUUUAUCAGUGAACUUGUAGGUGAAGAAAAGAUUUGGGGAAGGAAAUGAACAUAUUAUAUUGCAAAAUAGUAAGGAACAAUCAGAUGUGUUUUCUAGUCUCUGGAAAAGCAUGUUUCAAGAAAUUCAAUGAAAAGUUCAUCAUGCUUGCUUAGAUUGUUGAGAAGCAAAAACACUGAUGAACAUUUGGAAGCAAUGAGAAUGUAAUUCUAAUCAUACUCUUUUAAUAAUGUUGCAAAACUCUCCAAACACUACUCUGUGUGGAUGUCUUUCAGAAUAUGAUGAAUACUAGUAGUCUUAUUCUGCCCUUUUCUCUCUAUCACAAUAUAUACAUUCUAUAUUGCAUACACAUAUUUUCCAAAUAUUACAUAUAAUUUCAUGUAAUUUAUAGACCUAUUAAGGCCCAACCAUUUUCUUGGAUAGGGGAUUCUUUAGAAGUCCAGCUUAAAUAAAGCCCGUAUAGAAAGUUUUUUUAAAAUUUAUACAUAAUCACCUAAAGUAACCUUAUCUACUGAACUCUUAGUACAUGCUACUGGAACCUUUUAUCAUGUUUCUUCCUGGCUUGCAUUACAACACUGUUGACAUAUCUCAGCCUUACUUCUAGGCUUCUUUGAGAGCAUGACUCAUGUUUGUAUUCCUCACUGAGGUUGAAUGAAUAAGAGAAACUACAGUAGUAGGAAAAAACAGUACAUGUACAUAUCAAUGAAUAUGAAAGGGUCAAAUGGAUCUAUUAUAGUAAGCACAAAAUCAACUGACACCAGCAAAGUAAACCCAAAAUUUUUAAUGGUAUUUUAAUAGAUCAAGAGGAGCAAGCAGAUUUUUGAGACAGUUGUCUCCUACUUUCUCUAUCACAGGGAGUAAUUUUAAAAGAAAAAUGGAGGGUAAGUUUCUUUAAGAGAAAAUUGUAGUUUAAAACAGGUCAUGGGAUAAUUAGAAAUAAUUUAAUUUCUUUAGAGGAUUUUAAUCUUUCAACUGCUUGCAAUUAGAUCCUAAGGCAAUAAAAGAAUAAGGAGAUUUGGAAAACCAUUGUCUGUAAUCUCUGAAGAAAAGUGGACAUUAGGGGAGUCAGUUGAAAAGCAAAGCUAUCACCAUUUUCUAAAGAGGAAAAAGGUGAACCUCACAAACUAUAGACCAAAAAAAUAGGACAUCGAGAGAAAGAAUAUGAAGCUAGCAUAGGUUCACAAAGAAUGAGUCAAAUCAAACAACAUGCAUUUUUUAUUUAUAAAGCAUGACUUGUUCAUUGUCAAUUCAUGUUAGCUUAAUCAUUAGGCAUUAAUGCCAUCACUGCAAUGCAUAUGUCAGCAAUAAAUAAUCAAAGACCAGGCUUCCAUCAUUCUGUUUAAUAUCUUCAAGUAAUGCUUAAGUUUGCAAAUGCUCUUUUAACACAUUCUCCAUAUGCAGCCUGCCCAGCACUGCACACAAUAGACCUGUUACUUCCCCCUCACGAGCACUCCUAAUAUUUCAUGUGCUCAUCCAAUUGACUUCUCCCACUGGUGCCUCAUAUUGAAUUUGUAGAAUCACACCUGCUCCUUUUUCAAAACUCUUCUGAGUUUUUUCUUAAAUAAUUCACUGACCCCAAAGUUGUCAGAUAUUUGAAGACUACUCGCACAAUUUUAAUAUUAUAAAUGUAUAAUGUAAAUGUAAUUAAGAUUUGUAUAAUGUACGAUGUACUUUGGUAAAUAAAAGUAUGCUGUGAAUAAAUACGUAUGAUACAAUUCAAAAUUUUACAUAAAUAUGUGAUAAAAUUUAGCUCAUAUUCUUUUUUUUUUUCUUUGAGACGGAGUCUCACUCUGUUGCACCCAGGCUAGAGUGCAGCAGCAUGAUCUCAGCUCACUGCAACCUCUACCUCCUGGGUUCAAACAAUUCUCCUGCCUCAGCCUCCUGAGUAGCUGGGAUUACAGGUGCCCGCCACCAUGCCCAGCUAAUUUUUUUCUAUUUUUGUUGUUGUUGUUGUUUUUAGUAGAGACGGGGUUUCACCAUGUUGGUCAGGCUGGUCUUGAACUCCUGACCUCAGAUAAUCCACCUGCCUCGGCCUCCCAAAGUUCUGGGAUUACAGACGUGAACCACGGUGCCCGGCCUAGUUCAUGUUCUUUAAGGACAAUUAUGAAUAUUUUUAUGCACUGUUAAUUUUCAUUAAGAUAUUGAUCAAUUAAUAGCUAUAUAUGUUCUAUAAAUUAAUCCUAUCUAGUUUCAAUCUUAAAUUGUUUGCAUAUACCAAUCUAGUUUAUUGUUUGCAUAUAUUUUAUAGUGUAGAGAUUAGGCAUUUUAAUAAAAUUUUAAAAUUUCCAGGACAUACUGUUAAUGACUAUGCUUCCUACUAUAGGCCAUAAUUAAUUUUUUUCUAUUGUCAACAAUAUUUUGGUAGGGAUGAUCAGGAAAUAAGGAAAUGUUUCCUUCAUUUGUUAACAAUAGGUGUUUGGGGAUUUUAAAAUGAAAAUUGAAGAAGUAAAAGACACCAUAUAUUUAGUUUGUUUGAUUUCGUGGCUUCAAGAGUUCAAUAAUUUAUUGAAAUAUUUUACAGACCAAAGAACAACAGAUAUAUUACGUUUAUAAGCCCCCACAUAUUUUAAAGGAUAAUGGUUUAUAUAUGAAAAUUCCCUGAACCUACACUUCAUCAGGAAAAGCUAAAUAAAAGAAGUUUACAUUUCCUAGGACUAAUGGAGAUUUAUUUCCCAGUCCUCUUCUCUGGAGACAAAUGUAGGUCUCUCUUGAAAAGCAGAAAGUUUUGCAUAUGAGGUAUGAUUUAGUGGGCUAGAAACAUCUUUUCCACCCUCCCCAAAAUGUUUCACUAUGUUUUAUCAUACUAUCUGAUAAUUUUGCACUAAAGUUUUCUUUCUGUGUUAAGAAAAUGCAAAUAUCUCUGAAUGGGUCUCUUUGCUUUAGUCAUACUCAUAUGGCUACUACUGAACAAAAUAUGUUCAUUACAGGAUGAAGGGAAUGUUGCCAGCCAGCAAAUCCCUAGAGUUUGCACUACACCAAACGUUGCUUAGCAAUUUCCACGAUUUUCUCAGUCUAAUUUGCAAGAAUCAAGGAGAUGUUUGUGUAUGCUACAUGAAGUUGUAAAAUUGGUAUUUAUUGUAUGUUUCUAUAUCGAAAGCUUUACAAACAAAGGAAAUGGAAAGUUAACAGGUGGAUAUGAUAGUGUGGCACUACUUUAGCUGGAUGGUAAGGGAGAGCUUCUCUUAGGAAGUGUUUUAGGCCAGGACUUGAAUAAUGAACAGUAUCUAGUUGUACAAAAAUCUGGAGGAAAGACUUUUCAGGCCCAGGAGAAAUGAAAAUUCUUUUCAUGCAUACAAGAAUGAAAGUGAAAAUUACCUACUCUAUGUCCUGAAGUGGGAAGUUGGCUUGCCAGAGAGUAGGUAAUUUUCACUUUGAUUCUUUCAUGCCUUCAGUUAUACUACUUCUUAGGUUAGUUCAUAAGGGUUUCCACAAUUUGGUUCCCACUUAAAAUUUAAAACUUCCCUAACCCAUUCCCACCAUAUAUUGUGCUAAUCCAUGCAUAUGUGACUUUGCGUAUGCUGUUUUCAUUGUUUAAUAUUCUUCUCAUGCAUUCGUUCUUUCCUGAUAACGAACUCAUCUUUGAAACUCCCCUUCAAGCAUCCUCUACUUUAGGAGGCCGCUUCUCACUGUCUCCUGCCUACCACCCAUUGAAUUGUUCAAUUUUUAAGCUGCCAUUGUCUUGUGCAGUUGACACAUUUCUUUGCAAUUACUGAUUUACAUGUCUGCUUUUAUCACUGGUGAGGUUCUUUAGGACAGAGACAUUAUUAAUUCAUCUCUGGGCACAUAUGUUCCAACAUAUUAGAAGUACUACAGAGUGCUAUUACUAUGUAGUAUGUAGUAUUAGUAGUAGUUACUCACAAAUCAUUUUUAAAUAAGUGAUUAUAAUAUCUUUUUGUUAUUAUGAUUUAACACAAGAUGGAAUUUAUUUUCAGAAGUUUCCAUGAUAUAUUUGUUCUAUUUAAAAUCCAAUAGCCAUUAGAAUAUUACCAUUAUUUAAUGUAAAACAAUAAAAUAUUAAAUAUGAUCGUUCAUAUUUAAUGCAAACCGAACUCAUGGAAAUAUUGUGUAAAGAUCAAGUAAUUUUUGACAUACAAUUUUAAACUCAACUUUUCAUAUAGCAUACCUUAUGAUAUAUUUUCAGCCUACUUUUAAAUAUGUUGGCAUUGAAAGCCAGUUACUAAUUCGCUGAAUUCAUGAUUUCUUUUUAAGUUAUAGAAGUGGAAUUAUGUUUGAGAUAUUCAUUGCAUUACAUUUACCAGAACUUGAGUUCUUAACAUGGAACCUGAGAGUUUCUCCAAUUCUUAAGUCCCUGGGAGAAAUAGAUUAGCUGGAUGAGGAACUGAGAGGAAAAAUGGUCAGAGAUGUAGCAAGAGUUGGGAAGAAGGAACAAUGAUUUGCUUUCAAGGAGAUUUUUUCAUUGGUCUGUUUUCAGUGACAAACCCACUGCGAUAAUACAUGUAAAGUGAAAACAUUCAGGAAGUUCCCUUAGAAACCUCUUUUCUGGCAGUUCCUAAUUCUACAACAUUGUAUAAGUGAAAUACCAUAGUUACUGUCAUAGUAAAUUGAGCCAAGAGAAACAAGGGAGCAGGAGAAGAAAAGAAUUAAAGAGAGUUUUGUCUUUCAGUCUUCACUCUGUUUCUUCUUGCUUUUACCAGUCAUUCAGGUUUAUAUAAUUUCUUUAGAGAGGCUUCUACUAUGCAGGUCUUCCUUAAAGUCAUUGGUAUUACCUGGCAUGAUAUGUGAGCCUUUAAUAUCAGUCCCUUUAUCUCUUUAUUUUUAAAGUUUAUAUCAGUACAGAGUCCUGGAUUCUUAAUUAAUUUAAUAGGUUAGACUUUAUGCUAAUAUUCUUCAUUUUGAUGCUCAAAUUUUCCAAAAUUUGGCCAGCAGGGUUCCUUAAAGCUGGGUACCUUGCCCUUUCAACAUGUCCCUCUGAUUCUUUAUUUUUAUUUACUUAUUUAUUUAUUUAUUUAUUUAUUUAUUUAUUUAUUUAUUUAGAGACUGAGUCUUGCUCUGUCUCCCAGCCUGGAGUGCAAUGGCACAAUCUUGGCUCACUGCAACCUCUAUCUCCCAGGUUCAAGCAAUUCUCCUCCCUCAGCCUCCCGAGCAACUGGGACUACAGGCAUGUGCAACCAUGCCUGGCUAAUUUUUUUUGUAUUUUUAGUAGAGACAGGCUUUCACCAUGUUGGUCAGGCUGGCCUCGAUCUCCUGACCUCAAAUGAUCCAUCGCCUCGGCCUCCCAAAGUGCUGGGAUUACAGGCGUGAGCUGCCACACCCAGCCGUCCCUCUCAUUCUUUAAGUACUUCCAUGUUUUCUAAGGUACAAGAUGUUCCAUAUUAUUUUGUUAUUUGUCUUCCCCAGCUCUGAAAUCUGCCUUUCCUUCAAGGAGCCUUGGUUCUUUCUAGUGACAAAUUAUAUUUAGAAAGAAGAUCUGGGUAUUUGACUUGUAUAUUGCUAUUAAUUGGCCAUUGUUUCUAGUCUCUUUCAGUAGACAGAGCUAAGAAAUGUAAAAGGAAAUAUUUGAAUGUAUGUAUAUGUGAUAUAUUAAGUACAUUUAAACAUAUUAAAUUCAUGAGUUCAUACUAAUACUUUCAAUAAGCCACAAUUCCCUUUUCAUGUUUUCGAAGGAAAAAUAUCCAUUGUCUAUAUACAGUGGACAUAGAUAGUAAUAAUACUGAUCUUGAAAAGAGCAGUCUUAAAUAGAUCCCAUUAAUAGUUAAAGAUAACAUAUCUUAGAAUUCUAGAUAUUAGAGAGAUUAUCUAGAGCUGUAAUCUAGAUAUUUUAUAGAUCUUUGCUGUGCUGUUUUGAAUUUGUGUUGGAGUAGAACAAUCAGAUGACAAAAGCUCAUCCCACAUGGAAAAAUCAAAGCAUUCAUUACAGAGAGAAUUUUGAAAUAAAUGCAUAUAUAAAAAAUAUAUAUGCAUAUAUAAUGCAUAUGUAUAUGCAUAUAAAAUAUAUAUAUAUAAAAUGAGGGUUAUAAACAAUGAAGGAAAUAGUGAUACUAUCUAUGUGGGAACAAUACUAGUAUCCUCCCUUUGGAUGAAUACAGUAGCUACAGAUGCAAUUCUGGGGACUCUGUUUAGCAAUAGCUUAACUAUUGCUUGGCUACAAGCAUGGAUAACUUGUUCAAAGAUAAUGAGGAGUUGUAAAUAUUUAAAUAAACAGGAUUUGCAACAUAAAAAGCUUUGUGACUAUGUGUCUGAAUUCUUAGAGUUUUCUCCCAGCAAGACCUUGGAUGUGGCAGACUUUUCUGUAAUUGUCCAUCUCGCCCCUAUUUCAUGAAAAGCCAGAGCUUCUCUACUUAGUUUGCUAACCCCAAAUAUAUAAAUUCAAUAGAAGUACUAGCCUGUUUUUACUGGUUUAUUUGCUUUAUCUAAAAAAAACAAGGCAUAGUUUAAAGUCUGUUUUUGAUAGCAUAACAAAACAAAGGUUCUCAUUUUAAUAAUGCAUCACAUAUACACUUGGUAACUAUUGCAUAGUAAUAAUUUAAUAACUUGAGAAAUAUAUUUAUGCAUGUAUGUGUAUAUGUUCAUAUAUAUGUUAUUUUUAAUUCAGAAGUAAAACAAAUAUUGGAAGAGGCCACAGUUAUUAUAAAAAUAAUUUGACCAGUAUUGGACAAUGCAAAUAGCAAUCAUUUAGAAGUUUCU
rnacentral:lncRNA from 1 species